rnacentral:lncRNA from 10 species
AAAAGGAACAAAUAACUCUGGAAAUGUCUUGUGGUGAUCACUUAGCUGCUGACAUGGUGGGAUGGAGGAUUCCAGAAUGCGUCAUGACUCACUGCCAUUGUGUUUACAGACUUACAGCAUACCAUGAAGACUCUACAUUAAAGCCACUUCUUAAAGCAAAUGCCAUGUCCUACAGUGCCAUCUGCAGAGAAGCAGUUUGCACUUGACAGAAAUCAAGGUCUUCUAAGCCCCAAGUUAAAGAACUCUAUUCAGCCGGGCGCGGUGGCUUAUGCCUGUAAUCCCAGCACUUUGGAAGGCCGAGGCGGGCGGAUCAUCUGAGGUUGGGAGUUCAAGACCAGCCUGACCAACAUGGAGAAACCCCGUCUCUACUAAAAAUACAAAAUUAGCCUGGGGUGGUGACACACGCCUGUAAUUCCAGCUACUAAGGAAGGCUGAGGCAGGAGAAUUGCCUGAAUCUGGGAGGCGGAGGUUGCAGUGAGCCGAGAUCGUGCCAUUGCUCUCCAGCCUGGGCAACAAAAGCGAAACUCCAUCUCUAAAAACAAAAACAAAAACAAAAACAAAACUCCAUUCAAAAGUAAAGUAGAAACACUAUCUUGAUGCACCAAAAGACCAACUGCUCACAACUUUGGUUCCAAGGUCUGGAGAAUUUGCUGAGUCUGUGAGGCCUGGAGUUUCACAGCCAGUAUCCAAACAGGGACUAUUUCUGAUUAAUGUGUUGCUAGGUAACUCAUAAUUAUACAAGCAAAGAAGCAAGUUCAAUGUAAUAUAACUCACAUUGAUUUUUUUGGCUAUGCUGUAAGAGCUUGAUGUUAAUGUAUAGGAAAAAAAUUCCCAAUAUCCCCCAAACAUUUUGUUCCAAUAAAUACUUCUUAAUAUUUUGAAAUCACCUGGUUGUUCUUAUAGAUCUGAAAGUAUUUGAAACACAUUUUUAUUAUGAAUCAUGAUUUAGGCUCCUGAUAGACAGUUUUGUGAGCAUACUGACUUCUCUAUAAAUAUUACCAGCUCAUUCAAACUAAGUGGAGCAAGUGAAUAGAUUUGUGGUCCUUUCCGUACAGACUUAGAAACUUCCCGGUUUUAUUUUGGUCUAAUUAUAGGUUUUGACUUUUUCAAGGUACAUAAUCAAAGUCUGACCCCUAAAAACGUCUAAUAAAGCUAUGCUUUAAAGGCCAAAGAAAUAAACACAUUAUUUUAAGUGUCAUGGAGUUAGUGCAAAUCCAUGUAUCUUUGCAGGCCAGGGGGUGUUUUCUACCAGAUGAGGGCCUAAGGCAAUGAGGCGGCACAGACAUAAUAAAAGUCUGACGCAGAGAGGAUUUGAAUACCAGCUAGAGUAGUGGAAACAUGUUGUCAAUAAAUGUCUCAGGUCAAGAAACACACAAAAUGAGAAGAAAUCGUAGCAACCACCUUGCAGUGACCAAAAAAAUCUAUAUAUAUUGUCGGGAUAAUUCUGAGAAUAAAGCAGUACUAUGAUGCUAAAAAGAUGGUCUUCCUAAAUUGCAAUAUGAAUGACUGCACGUUAGAAAAGCAUGUAUUUUGGACCAACGUUGUGAAACUAAGCUGUCUUGGGACACCAGGCAUGAAGGCAAUGGGGCACAUUGGUUACGAGUUCUGGGUUUGGCCAGGGUGUGAAUUCCAACUCUCAUUGACCUUGAGGAUGUUAUUUCAAUUUUUUGUGGUUUAGUUUUCUUAUCUGUAUCUCACAAGGUUAUCAGAAAGAUUAUAUAUAAUCAUGUAUAAAGCUUGACAUCUGGCCUCUCAAAUGCUAAAAUAAAAAAUAAAAAAUAAAAAAAAACCCAACCUAAUAGUGUUAUAAUUACAGAAACAGAGUGUUCAGCUUAACAGGACACACUUUCCUUAUGUCCUUUCCUUCCUCAAAAGUAGGAGUAAUUCACCUCCUUCAGGCCAGUUGCAGGUUGCUUUGAGGCCUUGUGUUUCAGAGGAGUAGUAGCUAUUUUAUUACCACGUCUCUUAUUUUCAGUCUUUUAUUCCCCUUUAGUAAGUUUGGCUAGAUCUUCCUUUGUUUUUCUUUCACAUGAUUGAAAUCAGCCACCAGAAAUCACUGCACCCAUCACCCAGAUUCUGUAGUUUUGGUCAACUGCUUGCCAUCUUCUUCUCUACUUUGAUAUUAAGCACCUGGUCAAGAAUUGCAUCUCCCAGGGCUUGUCAGCAUUACUGACACUUUCCUGCAGGCACCUUUGGAAAUGGGCCAACAUAGUGCUGUUUUGGACUAUCAUUUAUCUAGCAUUUGCCCUCAAAGAUACAAACCUAAGUUUAAUCUUAUGAUAUUAACCAUGAUAGAUUGCAACCUCAAUAAUUUUUAUUCUAACAAUUAGAUCUGCUAUUCUUUGGACAGAAUGGCUUUCUUUUGGACGAUCUUUUUGGCAGUCUUUUAGAUGAUAAAGAAGUAAACAAAGUUGUCAAGAAAGUUAAAAGACAUAUACUCGAAACUCUACGGGGGAAAAAAAAGACACUAGGAAGAGCUCUCUGUCCUGGAUGGCAGUAAAGAAAGUAAAGCUACAUAUUUCUAACACAAAUCUUCUGUAUCAUCUCUUGUUUUACAUAAUUCAUAGACUCGCUCUUUAGCAUAGAAUUUGUGGCCAUGUACAAAGGUCACAGCUAGAAUACUGCAAAAUGUGUACAUCUGAGGGCAGAAAUUCUUUUUCCCCAUUACUUAUUUAUCAAACAGGUUGAUGUCAGAUAGAAAGCUUUGGGUGUUGUUUUGCCUUUCUUCCUCCCAUGCAAAUAAUCAUCUCUGUGUCCUACCUUGUUAACCUUUUCUGUUUAUUUCUAUUUCCCUGCAACUCCUUAUUAUAGUUGCCAGUUAAUCACAAAUAUAUUAAAAGAUUUCUUUUUAAUCUAGCAGUCUUCAUCGCUUUGUGGUAUCUAUGUGAACAGUUGUGUCCUCGCUAAGAGAGUGUCCAAUUACACGCACGGCAGGGAAAAGCAAGAGAUCAGCAGUUGACUAUGCUUUUGUCUAAGGUAUCAAAUGUGAAAGCAAAUUAGGUAUCUAAAAAUAAAAACUAAAAUUAAGACUAAUAAAAUGGAGCUUUGACUUUUCUCAUCACAGACUCAUUUAUACUUAAUGACACAGACUGACUGCAUAGGUAAUUGUUAUAAUCUCUCUUGAAAUGGAUUUUAAAAAAUGGCUGAUCUAUUCUUCUUUUCAGGACAGGUAAAUGGAUGCCAAGACAACAGAGAAACAGGAAUCUUUUUGUGUAGUUAUAUAUUAAUUUGUUUGCAAUAUUGGCUUGCAAAUAGAAGGCCAGAGAGAGAUCCAGCACCACAGGGAUUCAAAUCUCCGUUGACAAGUGUUUAUAAAUGACUCGCAACCAGAACAUAUAUGUGGAAUCAGCACACAAAACUGGCAAGAGCACUGGUUCCGCUGCAGAAAUUACACACAAGAGGAGCUCUUUCUGUGUGCUUUCAUGCAUCAGUCUAGAGCCAGUUCUUCCUCAUUCACAUUGAAACGUCAGGUUCGGCCUGAAUAAUGUUUCCAUGCGGGCCUAAAAACUUCUGCAAAAAUUCGAUGGAAGUAAAAAUCACACAAGACCUCAUCACACUCCUCCAUGUGAUCUCAAUAUUUUUAAAGAAAAUAUUUAUAUACGUUUUAUUUAUAAACCACUAUUCUAAGACUUAUAAGUCUAUAAAGCUUCCAUUUGGGCAAAAAUGUAAUCUCCCAAGAUAUAGCAGCUCUCUAAGCUAAAAAUAAGAGAGAAUAUUUUUGAAGAGACAAGAGUCUCAGGUUCCUUGUGAGGGAACUCAAAAUAUUUCACCCCAAAAUAUGGCAAUCUGAGUGUUUUAAGUUAAAACCUCAUAGAGAUCAAUAAGCACUGGAGGAGAGUUUUCCCCUAUCAACAGAAAGACAGGACUGACUCACCCAGGAGAACAAUUGUUCUUGUUCCCCUCCCUGGUAUCUCAUUAUUCACUACAGGAAAGAAGACCAAAAAUGUAAGCAUACUUGAACAUACAUUUUUCAAGAUAAUGAGUGUCUCAAAUGAUUAUUUAAAUUCCAAAGAGAACUAUUUACAAGUUAAUUUCUGUUCCAGUUAUUUUCCUUAGUAAUCAUUUAUUGCACAUCAAUAGAAUUCCUCUUCCCACCCUCCCAUAGCCUGUUCUGCCAGGAUCCAAGCCUUCAUUCUUUCUGUAACCUCAAGAUGGUAUGUCAACCUUUGUACCUCAUUGGGAAGCUGGGUCUUCAUUUUGAAGGCUUCCAAAUAUACACAUUAAAUAAAUUUGUAUGUCUUUUCUCCUAUUAGUCAAUCUUCUUCUUGUCAGUGAUUUUCAGUGAACCUUUAAGGGGUCAAGUUUUGGCCCCCACACCUGCCUUCAGUAGCACGUUUGUUUGAAGGUGGAUCAAC